rnacentral:rRNA from 1 species
AACGAACGCUGGCGGCAUGCCUAACACAUGCAAGUCGAACGAGACCUUCGGGUCUAGUGGCGCACGGGUGCGUAACGCGUGGGAACCUGCCCGUAGGUUCGGAAUAACUCCCCGAAAGGGGUGCUAAUACCGGUUAAUGUCUUCGGACCAAAGAUUUAUCGCCUUUGGAUGGGCCCGCGUUGGAUUAGCUAGUUGGUAGGGUAAAAGCCUACCAAGGCGACGAUCCAUAGCUGGUCUGAGAGGAUGAUCAGCCACACUGGGACUGAGACACGGCCCAGACUCCUACGGGAGGCAGCAGUGGGGAAUAUUGGACAAUGGGCGAAAGCCUGAUCCAGCAAUGCCGCGUGAGUGAUGAAGGCCUUAGGGUUGUAAAGCUCUUUUACCCGGGAUGAUAAUGACAGUACCGGGAGAAUAAGCUCCGGCUAACUCCGUG